GACUUUUCAAAGUCUUCCGGGCAUUUAAGUAUAGUCAGCUCUCUCUUUCUCCUUCACUCUUGUUAGAGCUGGUUAAGUUUCCUAUUCACUUCAUCAACAAUGAGUUCAAUGCUCUUUUCUUGCAUCCAAUUGUAGAGAAAGGAGGGUUCUUUUUUCCUUUGCCACUUGGUGAGAAUUCAGCUUCAAGCAGCCAAUUAUAGAGAACAAAGGGUUCUUUUCUCCAAGAUCACUUGCUGAGAACUCAACUUCAAGAAGGUCAAGAAAUGGCUGGUUACGAGAAAGAUGAUUUACCAAUGCUGUCAGA